UAAGCAACUAUACUGUGAAACUGCGAAUGGCUCAUUAAAUCAGUUAUCGUUUAUUUGAUAGUACCUUUACCUGGAUAACCGUGGUAAUUCUAGAGCUAAUACAUGCUAAAAACCUCGACUUCGGAAGGGGUGUAUUUAUUAGAUAAAAAACCAAUGCCCUUCGGGGCUCCUUGGUGAAUCAUAAUAACUUAACGAAUCGCAUGGCCUUGCGCCGGCGAUGGUUCAUUCAAAUUUCUGCCCUAUCAACUUUCGAUGGUAAGAUAGAGGCUUACCAUGGUCUUAACGGGUAACGGGGAAUUAGGGUUCUAUUCCGGAGAGGGAGCCUGAGAAACGGCUACCACAUCCAAGGAAGGCAGCAGGCGCGCAAAUUACCCAAUCCCGACACGGGGAGGUAGUGACAAUAAAUACUGAUACGGGGCUCUUUUGGGUCUCGUAAUUGGAAUGAGUACAAUCUAAAUCCCUUAACGAGGAACAAUUGGAGGGCAAGUCUGGUGCCAGCAGCCGCGGUAAUUCCAGCUCCAAUAGCGUAUAUUAAAGUUGUUGCCGUUAAAAAGCUCGUAGUUGAACCUUGGGCCUGGCUGACCUGUCCUCCUAAUCGAGCGCACGGGUUCGGUCGGGCCUUUCCUUCUAGGGAACCCCAUGCCCUUCACUGGGUGUGGUGGGGAACUAGGACUUUUACCUUGAAAAAAUUAGAGUGUUCAAAGCAGGCCUUUGCUCGAAUACAUUAGCAUGGAAUAUA
rnacentral:rRNA from 2 species